rnacentral:rRNA from 1 species
UGAGCAAUCUGCCCUUCUCAUCGGAAUAAGCGUUGGAAACGACGUCUAAUGCCGAAUACGACCUCCUUUCGCAUGAUCGGAGGUGGAAAGCUCCGGCGGAGAAGGAUGAGCUCGCGGCCUAUCAGCUAGUUGGUGUGGGUAAUGGCCCACCAAGGCGACGACGGGUAGCCGGCCUGAGAGGGUGACCGGCCACACUGGGACUGAGACACGGCCCAGACCUCCGUACGGGAGGNAG